rnacentral:rRNA from 1 species
UAGCUAGUGUAGUAACGUCACAGCAGUGCAUGGCACUGAGUGAUCGUCAAUGGACUGAGACGGCCACUCUACGAGCGCAGUAGAUCUCGGCAUGACGAGUCUGACCGAGCACGCGCUGAGGAGAGGUUCCGAAUCGUAAACUCGUGUAGAGAGACAGAUGAGAGUAACUGUCAUCCCUGACGUAUCUACAGAAAGCACGGCUACUACGUGCCAGCAGCGCGGUAAUACGUAGGUGGCAGCGUGUCUGGAUUAUGGCGUAAAGCGAGCGCAGGCGCUUCUAAGUCUGAUGUGAAGCCCCGCUCACCGGGGAGGGUCAUUGGAACUGGGAGACUUGAGUGCAGGAAGAGGAGAGUGGAAUUCCAUGUGUAGCGGUGAAAUGCGUAGAUAUAUGGAGGAACACCAGUGGCGAAGGCGGCUCUCUGGUCUGUAACUGACGCUGAGGCUCGAAAGCGUGGGGAGCAAACAGGAUUAGAUACCCUGGUAGUCCACGCCGUAAACGAUGAGUGUUAAGUGUUGGAGGGUUUCCGCCCUUCAGUGCUGCAGCUAACGCAUUAAGCAUUCCGCCUGGGGAGUACGACCGCAAGGUUGAAAUUCAAAGGAAUUGACGGGGGCCCGCACAAGCGGUGGAGCAUGUGGUUUAAUUGGAAGCAACGGGAAGACCCUUACCAGGUCUUGACAUCCUUUGACCACUCUAGAGAUAGAGCUUCCCCUUCGGGGGCAAAGUGACAGGUGGUGCAUGGUUGUGGUCAGCUCGUGUCGUGAGAUGUUGGGUUAAGUCCCGCAACGAGCGCAACCCUUAUUGUUAGUUGCCAUCAUUCAGUUGGCCAUUCUAGCAAGACUGCCGGUGACAAACCGGAGGAAGGUGGGGAGGACGUCAAAUCAUCAUGCCCCUUAUGCCUUGGGUUACACACGUGUUCCAAUGGGAAGUACAACGAGUUGGGAAGUCGGGAGGUUAAGCUAAUUUCUUAAAGCUUUUUUCAGUUCGGAUUCCAGGUUGCAAUUCGCUUCCAGGAACCCGGAAUCGUUAGUAAUCGGGGAUCACCACGCCGCGGGGAAUACGUUCCCGGCCCUUGUCCACACCGCCCGUCACACCACGAGAGUUUGUACCACCGGAAGUCGGUGAGGUACCCUUUGGAGCCAGCCGCC